UACGAAGGGGGCUAGCGUUGCUCGGAAUCACUGGGCGUAAAGCGCACGUAGGCGGCUUGUUAAGUCAGGGGUGAAAUCCUGGAGCUCAACUCCAGAACUGCCUUCGAUACUGAGAGUCUCGAGUCCGGGAGAGGUGAGUGGAACUGCGAGUGUAGAGGUGAAAUUCGUAGAUAUUCGCAAGAACACCAGUGGCGAAGGCGGCUCACUGGCCCGGUACUGACGCUGAGGUGCGAAAGCGUGGGGAGCAAACAGG
rnacentral:rRNA from 1 species